AUUCAUUCUGUGCAUCUACAGGGUUUGGAUUUUUGUGGAUGGUAUGAAACCCUAAUUAUCUCUCUGUAUUCUCACCACAUUUAAGAAAUGUUGUUGAUAUCAGAAAUCAACUAUUUAGGGUUUGAAUUAUAAAGGGUUUGGUUCAGAUUUUCUGUUGAGGAUCAAGAAGAACAGAUGAUGAUAAAUAAAAGGUUUGGUUCAGAUUUGAAGAAUGGUGAAGUUAGGGUUGAUGUUGGUUUGUGAAUAUGAUGAAAUGAAAUAGCAGUAGGGUUUGUUCCGAGAGAAGAAUCAGUUGGGAGAAGUGGUGUUACUGCUUUGGUUGUGGCCGAUUAAUUCAGGGGUGUUGACCUGAUUUUGUUGUUUGCUAAUGGCGGCUGUUGGAGCAAUUCUUGAGAUGUCAUUACAUAAGGGUUUGGGAUGUUGAUUGACAUGGGUUUGUGGUUGUCAGGUUCUGAAUCUGAGAAGAUGUGAUAAAUGAAAUAUACACAGCUACAUGGGUUUAAGCUUGUGAUGAUUGCAGGCUACGCUUGUAAGCUGAGCUUGAGUUGACAUGAAAUUGGAAAUGUAUGAAUGAAUGUAUUGCUGUGGAGAUUUGGGUACAAAUUGAGAUGGGAAUGAAGAAGGUUCAACGACAACAUAUCUGUGGGUUCAUUGCAUAAGCUUGAUUGAUGGAGAUUUGGGGUUUUUUUGUUGUCUAGUGGUGGUGUUUUGAGUGAUUGAUGGAGUCGCAGAACAGCUGAAGUAAGUGAUGGUGCUGAGACGAGAAUGGAGCAGGUGGUGAUUGAAUUAGGUAUUCUGUGAUGAAGUAACGAGAAGCAACAAGCAGCAACAGAUCUGUUUUGGGGGUUUUGAAUUUAAAUGAAAUGAGGUUUGUUCUUGAAUUAAACAAGAUGGAAAAUGAGUCAAUAAGCUCGCUGUUUGAACAUGGAAGAUUGGAUAGUUCUGCAGGUGUUUGUUUGAAUGCAGAAAGGUGUUGUUGUCAUCGAUGUUGUAAUCAGUGAAGGCAACAGAUUUUGAGUUUUGCUGUGGCCUGAAAUUGAGUAUUAUUGCAGUCCUGAGACAUAAAUGGGUAUGGAGUCAAGACUUCAAUCUAACUGGUACUGGUAGCUAGAAGCUCUGAGAUGGGUGUUGUUGAUUACUUAUCUUACAAAGAUACAGGAGAAGAUGGGAGCAAACUGAAUUUAGUUGGUGGUGCUGGAGUUUAUGAGCAGCUCUUGGCACUGGAUUGCAGACUUGAACUCUUUGAAGACAGACUCGCACAAAUUUGAGUCCCAUUAUACCUACAAUCUUGUUGGAUAGCAAUUGUGCAUUUGAAAAUUCAUUAGAUCAAAAUGAUUGAACUAUUAAGCUCACUCUUUCUUUUGGCUACAGGUAGCGAAGAAGCUUACUUUGAGAGGUCGCCAAUCAAAUUUGUUGAUAAGUUUUCUUGCCAUGUGAUUAUAUUCCAAGGAUUAGAGGAUAAGGUUGUGACUCUAGAUCAAGCUCGUAAAAUUUAUACAGCUCUAAAACAAAAAGGGGUUCUUGUUGCACUGGUAGAGUAUGAAGGAGAGCAACAUGGAUUAGCAGCAAGCAGUUAGGUUGUGUUGUUCGAAAUAGAUGGGCUAAAUUGGGAUAGUUGGUUGAGCUGGUUGCAAUUAAAGGAGGUGAUGCUCAGUUGGUUCAAAACAAGAAGGGUGUUGUGGUUGGCAGUGGCCGGAGUUGUCUAGUGUCCUGAACUUGGAAGAUGGGUGAUGAUAAAAUGGGCCUGUCACAAUACUUAUACAGUCCAGUUGGAUGACUUCGCGGGAGAUACAUAUACAUCAGUUAUAGCAAAUAACAUUACACAUUUCCAUCCACGAACUAAAAUCAUCCUUGACCCUGGAAAGCUGCUGGUUCCAGAAUAUGCCGUAACAUUUGUGAGGGAAACUUCAAAGAAGCCGUUUGGACGCCUUUGGUGUGACGAUAUUGUAUCUACUAUUGUGGGAAGGGCUGAGAUCCAUAACCAGUGAUCAGAUGAGGCGAAAUGGAGUAGUUUACAAGAUGGCUGAAUGAGUAUAUUGAGUAGUUGUGGUACUAUUGCCAUGAGUAUAAUCAUUUGAAACUAAUUGGUGAGAUCAGAAAAGUUGGUUAAACUUUAGAGUUUUUUAUUUUUGCUAGCAAGAUUUGCAGCUGAGGCUCUGAUUUAUUACCAUUUUGUAAUUGUUGCUUUUGCAGACUUUUGUUGAUAAGUUCCGUUACAACACAAAAGAGGGCAUCAUUAGUUCAAUCAAGAAUUAAGCUAUAAGUUUGAGUUCCCAACACAGGAUGAAAGACCAGGGGCUCCUAUUAUAAGUUUCAGGUUUGCCGCACAGGUCUGCUGAUAAAGUUUUUAUGUUAUGUAUCUCUGUAUUGUUGCUCCAUCUCGUUAUUUGAUCUGUGUGUUUGGGUUAUAACAAAAACCCGAAGGGUAAAAGUUAGAAAACAUUGUAAUGUUUAGUGAUAAGUUUCCUGGAUAAAUGUUGUUGGAUUUUCGUAUAGACGAUCUCCGAGUUGUCCUUGUAGCUGUGAUGCUCCCGUUCCAGCAUAAACUAUGUCGCUGAAAACUGGGUGGCACACAAGAAGCAGGAGACGUAUCCGUAGACGCAUCCCUAAUAGAUUUGUAGGAGGGUAUAACAAACAAAAGGAUGAAGUCGAGGAAGGUUUGAUUUGCGCUGAUGACUAGUGCUUUGUAAGAAGGAAUUUGGAGCCAGUGUUUACUCUGACUGAUAAAGAGAAGUGGGAUUGAUGCCAGGUUCUGUACUGCGAGCAAUGAACUUGUCCCUGAUCCCAUGGGUUAUACUUCUUCUUUUUCUUUUUGCGAUAUGAUUUUUUGCUGGUGUUGUAGAGGAAAGAAGAAAUAGUGGUAAAAAAUUUAACACUGUAAUGGGAAUUCACUUGUCAUUUUUUAACUUGAAUGAAUGUAAA